rnacentral:lncRNA from 1 species
UCUGCUCCUCUGGCAGGAGGCUCCCUCCAGCUGUGUGCCAGGUCGUCCACUCUCCCCUCCAGAGCAAGGGCCACCCUCGCUGACGAGGUCUGCCCUCUUGCCGCAGCAUUGGUUUCACCUCCUGUUUUGGAUCUUUUCAAACAGCACACGAACAUUCGGACUCUCUCCUACUUAGGAAAAGUCCCCCCCUUGGGCGACCUUCCAUGCCAGUUACUGUCAAAACAUCUUUACCGCCUAGGUCUAUCAAUAAAGCACUGACAGAAUUGGUAUAACUCAAGUUAACACAUUUUCUUGAACCUAGGAAGCAGCCUCCUGGGUGGUCCUUGCAAGUUCUUCCCCCUCCGUGGGGCUCUGCAGAUGAUACGCUCCAAGUCCUUACUCCCCAUGGAACAUAAGCCACUGUCUUCUUCUCCAGUCUUGUCUCUUCUCCCCAAGUACUUGCCCCUCUACCCUUCCUUUAAGGGAGGGUCCCACUCAUCUCCCUUCCCUGGGUCUCUCUCCACUGGAGGGUAGGGGGACAAAGACCAGCCAGACAUCCAUCACUGGUUUUCUCAUCCACUCAUUCACCUGCCUAUCUUUGCGCUCACACCUGGGGAACAGAGCAGAAGACAGGCCCUUUUAGUGGAGAAAAAUAUGUCUCUGCCCUCUGGUCUUUCCCUCCUCCCCUCUUCCAUCUCUUCUCAUGAGAUCCUAUUGCCCUGAUGGGACAGCCGCCAUGACCCUGGCUUUAAGGAGGAAAAUAAAAAAUAAUAAAGCCAAGGCUCUCUUACAAUGCCACUUCACAAUUUGACAAAUAUCAGAGGAUUGUGAGUGCGAGCUCCACCUGCUCCCCACCUUGUACAAACGGAGCAGGGGAAAAAUGGAAGGAGGGAGGCUGACUAUGAGGGGAGACCUAACUCUAACUCUAACUCCAACUCUCUCCAGAAGUCUCUGUCUUUCACUUCUGAGGCUUGUUUGCUAAUCAACCAUCCUUUAACACAGGUUGCCAGUAAUUUUUGUUCAAAUGGCUCUGACCAUGCAGAAACAAGAAAACAUUCAAGUGGCAUUGUCUCUUAGUGCUGCAUGAAAUAGGAGAGUUGUCCCAAUAGUUAGACAUGACAUGGGUGAAAGCUUGGAAUCCAGGCUAGGAGUCACAGUUAGGAGAAGGUCGACUUGGCUGGAGAGUUUUAAAAAAAUAUCUGGGUUGGAUAAGAGAUCAUCUGCAUUCAAAUAAUUAGAAGUAAACAUGCUGACAUUCCAAACUUUCUAGAUCAAAUAUGUAAAAUCUGUUUGAUGAGUUGGGUUUAGAAGACUGCUCCUCCCCCACCAAGGAAACAAUAAUAGAAAUGGAGGAAAGUGUAUGCUUUCAGAAACUCCAUGGAAUGAUACCAUUUGGUAGUAAGAGGAUGGAACCAGUUCAUGGUUGACUAUGGUUUCAAAUGCAGGUACGGUUGUAUAUUAACACUGAGUGCUUUGUAUGUGGCAAGAAUUGUUCUAAGUGUAAGUUACCUUGGUUAACAUAAUUUAAUUAUCUAACCACCCUUAUAAGGUAGGUUCUAUAAUUAUUCCCAUUUUGUAGGUUAGGAAAUAAAAGCACAGGAAAGUUAAGUAACUUGACAAAGACCACACACCUGGGUAAGUGGCGGAGCUGUGAUUUGGACCCAGGCAAUCAGAAGCCUUGCUUUUAACCACCAACCGUUGCUCUCCUGAAUAGCUGGGCAUCCUAUUUGACUAUUUUCAAACACCAGCAGGACUCCACAGAGGUGCGACGUAGAAGUGCUGAAGAUCAUAGAUACUGUUUUUUUCCUUUUAUAUGUAUUAAAUUCCAUAUACUUCCCUAUAAUCCCUUAAGCCCUAUCCAACAACAGCUUGGUUAUUAUCUGG